UCACUGCUGUGGAGUCCCACAAUAGGACGAAACGGCCGUCCAGUGU
rfam:Schistosoma mansoni strain Puerto Rico chromosome 4, complete genome